rnacentral:misc_RNA from 1 species
UCCGAGUUGUCCCCGGCAGUCCCAUUAGAGUCCCCGACUUUACUCGCUGGCAACUAAUGGCAGGGGUUGCGCUCGUUGCGGCACUUAAGCCAACACCUCACGGCACGAGCUGACGACAGCCAUGCAGCACCUGUGCUAGCCCUAUAACGACACGGGCUUUCACCCGCUUUAACUAGCACGUCAAGCCUAGGUAAGGUGGGGAUGACGUUCCACAGACUAUAC